rnacentral:rRNA from 1 species
AGAGUUGAUCAUGGCUCAGGAUGAACGCUGGCGGCGUGCCUAACACAUGCAAGUCGAACGAAGCACUUAGACAGAUCCUCGGGUGAUGAUUGUGACUGAGUGGCGGACGGGUGAGUAACGCGUGGGUAACCUGCCCUGUACAGGGGGAUAACAGUUAGAAAUGACUGCUAAUACCGCAUAAGCACACGAUGGUAGCAUUACCAGGUGUGAAAAAACUCCGGUGGUACAGGAUGGGCCCGCGUCUGAUUAGCUUGUUGGCGGGGUAAGAGCCCACCAAGGCGACGAUCAGUAGCCGGUCUGAGAGGAUGAACGGCCACAUUGGAACUGAGACACGGUCCAAACUCCUACGGGAGGCAGCAGGUGGGGAAUAUUGCACAAUGGGGGGAACCCUGAUGCAAGCAACGCCGCGUGAGUGAAGAAGUAUUUCGGUAUGUAAAGCUCUAUCAGCAGGGAAGAUAAUGACGGUACCUGACUAAGAAGCUCCGGCUAAAUACGUGCCAGCCGCGGC